UACGAACUGUGCGAACGUUAUUCGGAAUCACUGGGCUUACAGGGUGCGUAGGCGGCUAUUCAGGUCAGGUGUGAAAGUCACAGGCUCAACCUGUGAAUGCCGCUGGAAACUGUCUGGCUAGAGUCCGGAAGGGGCGAGUGGAAUUCCUGGUGUAGCGGUGAAAUGCGCAGAUAUCAGGAGGAACACCAAUGGCGAAGGCAGCUCGCUGGGACGGUACUGACGCUGAGGCGCGAAAGCGUGGGGAGCAAACAGG
rnacentral:rRNA from 1 species